rnacentral:lncRNA from 1 species
UAGUACCAUUAUGAUGUUUGCUCUUUCCUUCUAUGUUUCCAUGGUGACUGAAAAUGGAGCCCUUUCUUCAGGCCACUGGUCUUUGCAGCACUGAUGUUCUCAGCCACAGAAGUGUACUUAGAGGUACCUUCCCUUUACACUUCAUACAGAGACUCAAAGAAGAGACUAAGCUAUCAGUCUCAUCCAGGAUUUCACUGCUGAGCUGAAUACAAAUCAUCAGUUAAGUGAAGCAAUGGUGACAAGAAUUUGCUUAGACAAAUUCAAAAACAAUCAGAUGAAAGAAAAGAUAUUACAAGCUGCCAAGAAGAAGCCAUUCAGAUACCAUGGAAACAUGGUGAGGUUAACACAGGAUCUGGCUGCAUCCACACUGAAGGACCAAAGGGCAUGGGAUACGAUAUUCCAGAAAGCAAGGGAACUAGGUCUACAACCAAGAAUAAAAUACCCAUCAAAACUAACUAUAUUCUUACAGGGGAAAGUAUGGUCAUUCAACACAACAGAAGAGUUCCAAGCAUUCAUAAAUAAAAGACCAGACCUGAACAGAAACUUUGAUGCCCAACCACAGAACUCAAGAGAAUCAUCAAAAGGUAAUUAAAAAAUAGGGGGAAAAAACAAACAAACAAAACAACAACAAA